rnacentral:RNase_P_RNA from 1 species
CAAGUUAGCCAGAUGACCGCAACAUUAGUUGAGGAAAGUCCGAGCAUCGCAAGGCAAAGGCGGCGGGUAACACCCGCUGAAGGCGACUUUAAGGAAAGUGCAACAGAAAGAUACCGCAAUAAGUAAUUAUUGUAAGGAUGGAAAGGUGCGGUAAGAGCGCACCAGCAUUUCGGCGACGAAAUUGGCUAUGUAAACCCCGCCUGAUGCAAGAGAUAAGGUCAUAAAGGCUUGCCUUGGCCGACCUUAGAAGUUUCGCUUGAGCAUUUCGGUAACGAUAUGCCUAGACAGAUGGUCAUCAAAUACAGAACUCGGCUUAUAGACUAACUUGUUUU